rnacentral:lncRNA from 1 species
GGCAGAAUCAAACUACAGCCAACUUAUGGUGAGGAGCUCUUCAAACCAUUACUGAAAUUGCCAUUAAGAUACACCUGCUGCACAAGCACCAUGAGCUCACAUGCUGGAGAGGUAAAUCUGGGUGCUAGACAGCAUGCUGUUCUCAGAAUUGUUCCUCCCUUCACAUAGCUGCUGUUUCAAGGAAAUAUCAUGCCAUGUGUGUGACAGAGAUUGCCAAUGGGCACCAAUGUCUGCAGCUCCCCUUUUUUUCCCGGACACACAGCUAGACAACAUGCCCUGGUCCCAUUUCUCCUUUGCAGUUAGAUGUGGCUUCACAGCUCCUAACGUCGCUCUUGUGUUAUCUUUGAAAAGUGUUUAAAAGACAGUUUGGUAAUGUGUGAUACCUACUGAUUGUCCCAUCCCCAUGGUAUCUGGAUGAUUUUGCCCCUAUUAUCUCUGUCUUAUCACUUUGGAUUCCAUCUCCUGUAGUGUCUCCUCAGGAUGUGGCUUUAUCCCACAAAGGAGCUUCAGUUGGUGAGUUCUGAGAGUUCACUGGGUCCACACCUUUUAUUUCCUUUUAAUCUCCUGCACUCAACUGCACACAGGAGCCUUAAAAGCCCUUUUUGGUUUGGACUGCCAUUCUUAGGCUGGACUACUAUAAUUUCUAGGGAGCACAUGUAGACUAUUUUAGCUUAUUCUGGAUAAUCAGUCAUCAGAGGUCCCAAGCUUCUCCACAGAGUCUGUGAUGUGAUACGGAUCUUGCUGCCUUCAGUGGUUUUCUUCCUGUCCCUCAUAUUGUGAGGCUUGUGGGAAUACUUAGUAUUUUUGUAGAUGUUGUUUGGGGUGUAGGGUUUUGCUCUGCUGGUUGUAGUUUCAGUUUUAUGGGACGAAGUGGAGAAAUUAAAAACAGAGUAAAACAACAACCAAAAAAACCCAAACAAACUAUAUGCCACAGUUAUCAACAGCACAGAAUCCUGAACAAAUACCACUGUGUGGAUACAAUAUAAAGCACAGUGGGUGAAGUGGUACAGGUAGAGGAAUUAUGGAGGUAAAAAUAGGAACAGUAGAUGGGGUUAUUAAAAAUAGUCCAUAGUGCUGGGUAGGAAAUGGGAAGGAAACUGAUGUAUUAAGACACCUG